CCGUGCUAAGCGGGGAGCUGGCGGUGCCCUGUACCCGAAAUCCGCUCAUGCGGGGCAGAAUCUCCUUUUGAGGAUUGUAACGACGGCAAAGCAACCUUUUUUAAGGACAGAAUUGGACGGUACGCAACAAACGGUUAUGAAUCCCGUCAGGUCCGGAAGGAAGCAGCGGUAAAUAAUGCGGUUUGUGUCGUAUCUAUCUCGAAUACUGGUCUUAGACCAAGGUCUUUGUUGGCGUUGAUUCAAGAAAGGAUGCACGG
rnacentral:SRP_RNA from 1 species